rnacentral:rRNA from 1 species
ACAGCAGUAGCCACGGUAAUACGAAGGGUGCAAGCGUUAAUCGGAAUUACUGGGCGUAAAGCGUGCGUAGGCGGUGAGUUAAGUCUGCUGUGAAAUCCCCGGGCUCAACCUGGGAAUGGCAGUGGAUACUGGCUCGCUAGAGUGUGUCAGAGGAUGGUGGAAUUCCCGGUGUAGCGGUGAAAUGCGUAGAGAUCGGGAGGAACAUCAGUGGCGAAGGCGGCCAUCUGGGACAACACUGACGCUGAGGCACGAAAGCGUGGGGAGCAAACAGGAUUAGAUACCCGCGUAGUCCCUGUCUCUUAUAA